CCUACGGGAGACAGCAGUGAGGAAUAUUGGUUAAUGGCCGUAAGUCUGAACCAGCCAAGUAGCGUGAGGGAAGACUCCCCUAUGGGUUGUAAACUUCUUUUAUGCGGGGAUAAAGGGUUGCACGUGUGGAUGUUUGCAGGUACCGCAUGAAUAAGGACCGGCUAAUACCGUGCUAGCAGCCGCGGUAAUACGGAGGAUCGGGGCGUUAUCCGGAUUUAUUGGGUUUAAAGGGUGCGUAGGCGGCCUGUUAAGUCAGCUGUGAAAGUCUGGGGCUCAACCAUAGAAUUGCCGUUGAAACUGGGAGGCUUGAGUAUGGUUGAGGGAGGCAGAAUUCGAGGUGUAGCGGUGAAAUGCUUAGAGAUCAGGAAGAACCCCGAUGGCGAAGGCAGCCUGCCAAACGAUGACUGACGCUGAUGUGCGAAAGCGUGGGGAUCAAACAGGAUUAGAUACCCCAGUAGUC
rnacentral:rRNA from 1 species